rnacentral:rRNA from 1 species
UACGGAGGAGGUAAGCGUUAUCCGGAAUUAUUGGGCGUAAAGCGUCCGCAGGUGGCGAUUCAAGUCUGCGGUUAAAGACUGGGGCUUAACCCUGGAAAGGCCGUGGAAACUGAAACGCUAGAGUGCAGUAGGGGUAGAGGGAAUUCCCGGUGUAGCGGUGAAAUGCGUAGAGCUCGGGAAGAACAUCGGUGGCGAAAAGCGCUCUGCUGGACUGCAACUGACACUCAGGGACGAAAGCUAGGGGAGCGAAUGGG